AUAACGGUCCUAAGGUAGCGAAAUUCCUUGUCGGGUAAGUUCCGACCCGCACGAAAGGCGUAAUGAUUUGGGCACUGUCUCAACAACACACCCGGUGAAAUUGAAAUACCAGUGAAGAUGCUGGUUACCUGCGCCAGGACGGAAAGACCCCAUGGAGCUUUACUCCAGCUUGAUACUGGGAUUCGGUACUACCUGUACAGGAUAGGUGGGAGGCUUCGAUCACGGGACGCCAGUUUCGUGUGAGCCGCUGUUGGGAUACCACCCUUGUAGUACUGGAUUCCUAACCUACAGCCGUGAACCGGCUGGGGGACAAUGUCUGGCGGGGAGUUUGACUGGGGCGGUCGCCUCCGAAAGGGUAUCGGAGGCGCUCAAAGGUUCCCUCAGAAUGGUUGGAAACCAUUCGAAGAGUGCAAAGGCAGAAGGGAGCUUGACUGCGACACCGACGGGUGGAGCAGGUACGAAAGUAGGACUUAGUGAUCCGGUGGUAUAAAGUGGGAUUGCCAUCGCUCAACGGAUAAAAGCUACCCUGGGGAUAACAGGCUUAUCACUCCCAAGAGUUCACAUCGACGGAGUGGUUUGGCACCUCGAUGUCGGCUCAUCGCAUCCUGGGGCUGUAGUAGGUCCCAAGGGUUGGGCUGUUCGCCCAUUAAAGCGGUACGCGAGCUGGGUUCAGAACGUCGUGAGACAGUUCGGUCCCUAUCCGGCGUGGGCGUAGGAUAUUUGAGAGGAGCUGUCCUUAGUACGAGAGGACCGGGAUGGACGGACCGCUGGUGUAUCUGUUGUUGUACCAACAGCAUGGCAGAGUAGCCAAGUCCGGCAGGGAUAAACGCUGAAGGCAUCUAAGCGUGAAGCCCCCCUCAAGAUAAGAUAUCCCAUCAUAAGAGUAAGACCCCUUGAAGACUACAAGGUUGAUAGGCUUGGAGUGUAAUCGUGGCAACACGUUCAGCUGACAAGUACUAAUAGGUCGAGGGCUUAUCCU
rnacentral:rRNA from 1 species